rnacentral:rRNA from 1 species
UACGUAGGGAGCAAGCGUUGUCCGGAAUCAUUGGGCGUAAAGAGCGCGUAGGUGGCUUUAUAAGUCCGUUGUGAAAGUCAAAGGCUCAACCUUUGAAAGCCGAUGGAUACUGUGAAGCUAGAGUACGGAAGAGGCGAGUGGAAUUCCUGGUGUAGCGGUGGAAUGCCAAGAUAUCAGGAGGAACACCAAUAGCGAAGGCAGCUCGCUGGGACGUUACUGACGCUGAGACGCGAAAGCGUGGGGAGCAAACAGG